rnacentral:snRNA from 1 species
AGCUUUGCGCAGUGGCAGUAUUGUAGCCAAUGAGGUUUAUCCGAGGUGCGAUUAUUGCUAAUUGAAAACUAAUUUUGUUAGAAUUCACAUUUUCAAAGCAUUGAAAACACGCAUAGCAUAAUAUGACAAAUUUUCAAGCAGUCACUGAGCGUGACACGCAGCAGAAAAGGGACUCCAUGCUAGACU